GACGAACGCUGGCGGCGUGCUUAACACAUGCAAGUCGAACGGAAAGGCCCUGCUUUUGUGGGGUGCUCGAGUGGCGAACGGGUGAGUAACACAUGAGUAACCUGCCCUUGACUUUGGGAUAACUUCAGGAAACUGAGGCUAAUACCGGAUAGGAGCUCCUGCUGCAUGGUGGGGGUUGGAAAGUUUCGGCGGUUGGGGAUGGACUCGCGGCUUAUCAGCUUGUUGGUGGGGUAGUGGCUUACCAAGGCUUUGACGGGUAGCCGGCCUGAGAGGGUGACCGGCCACAUUGGGACUGAGAUACGGCCCAGACUCCUACGGGAGGCAGCAGUGGGGAAUAUUGCACAAUGGGCGGAAGCCUGAUGCAGCAACGCCGCGUGCGGGAUGACGGCCUUCGGGUUGUAAACCGCUUUCGCCUGUGACGAAGCGUGAGUGACGGUAAUGGGUAAAGAAGCACCGGCUAACUACGUG
rnacentral:rRNA from 1 species